CAAGAUCCUCAAAAGAUCAGCACCGUUCAAAUCAGAAACGGAUCCAAAAAAAUCCAGUAUGCUAGCUGCUUGCCAACAGAUUUAGGAAAACCAAACAAAUCUAUGGUGGAUUCUUUUCUGAGCAGUAAGACGGUGGUAGCGUAGGCCUUUGAGUUGCCUUUUAAAUAAGGUGUACAUUAUGCUUCUCACUGAAAUUGGAGAACUCUAAAAACAUGUGAAUCACCUUGUAC
rnacentral:lncRNA from 1 species